UACGUAGGGCGCAAGCGUUAUCCGGAAUUAUUGGGCGUAAAGAGCUCGUGAGCGGUUUGUCGCGUCUGCCGUGAAAGUCCGGGGCUCAACUCCGGAUCUGCGGUGGGUACGGGCAGACUAGAGUGAUGUAGGGGAGACUGGAAUUCCUGGUGUAGCGGUGAAAUGCGCAGAUAUCAGGAGGAACACCGAUGGCGAAGGCAGGUCUCUGGGCAUUAACUGACGCUGAGGAGCGAAAAGCAUGGGGGAGCGAACAGG
rnacentral:rRNA from 1 species